AUUGAACGCUGGCGGCAUGCCUUACACAUGCAAGUCGAACGGUAACGGGCCUUCGGGUGCCGACGAGUGGCGAACGGGUGAGUAAUGCAUCGGAACGUACCCAUUAGUGGGGGAUAACUCUCCGAAAGGAGGGCUAAUACCGCAUAUUCUGUGAGCAGGAAAGCAGGGGAUCGCAAGACCUUGCGCUGAUGGAGCGGCCGAUGUCAGAUUAGCUAGUUGGUGAGGUAAAGGCUCACCAAGGCGACGAUCUGUAGCGGGUCUGAGAGGAUGAUCGGCCACACUGGAACUGGGACACGGUCCAGCCUCCUACGGGAGGCAGCAGUGGGGAAUUUUGGACAAUGGGGGCAACCCUGAUCCAGCCAUGCCGCGUGAGUGAAGAAGGCCUUCGGGUUGUAAAGCUCUUUCGGCCGGGAAGAAAUCGCAUGGGUUAAUACCCUGUGUGGAUGACGGUACCGGAAUAAGAGGCACCGGCUAACUACGUGCCAGCCGCCGCCGUAA
rnacentral:rRNA from 1 species